UCUUUUACUUUUUAUAUUUGUGCACUCGGACUAAAAACAAAUCCUGAGGGAACAGCACAACAGAAAAACAUACAGUGCAAAAAUACACAUUCCUGUUUCUCAAAUUUUCAGAAAGAUCACACACUUUCUGCACCUGAACAUUUAACCUAGGGGAGAACUUUUUUAAAUAUCUGAAUAGGUGAUUGACCUGUAUUUUGUGAGUCAAGGACACCGUUGGAGCCAAUUCACACUUCACUCUUUGGUUUAUGGUUUAUUAGUAUUCAAGGGACCUCUUACGGGGAGCACAGCAGGGGGCGCUGGUUUUUGAGGUACACAUAAGGUGUGCUGUAGCAGAGCAAGAGGUGUUGCCUGAUGGAGGAGGCAUACAGUUUUCGACCGUGUCACCAUGCUUAUCACUGCGACUUGUAGGAGCUAGGCUAGCUGCACAUUAGGGUGUUUUUUCUCCUUUUGUUUUGUUUGAUUUCAAUAUUAUUUACAACAUCACAACUGACUACAAUAAUGGAUCGGAUCUGGAACAUCAGAGACGAGAAUGGUGAGCAAACACGCGUCAAAGCAACUCGUAUCAAUCAGGUAGCCAAGAGACUUAAUUGGUUUGUUUGAAAGUCAAUACAGACACUCUUGUUUAUUAUUAUUGGUGCUGAGCUUGACAUGGAAUGUGUGAGACACGCCCCACACAAACACACACAAUCAACGGCAGCAGCUGUUUGCACUAAGUGUGUUUUUCACCAGCAUGUUACUGCCUGCAGAACAGCAGGCCCUGAUACUCCUGGUCUGGAGAAACAAAAAUAUGAUCAUAUUAUGGCCUUAAUGAGCCAAUAUAGAGAUUUUGCAACUACUAACUAAAAAAAAAAUCACUGAAUUUAUUUAGCCCAUAUUUAUGGAUAAUUGCUGUCUGGAACCUGGAAUUACUUCAUUAUUAAUUUAUAUCCUGAAAACAGCAGAACAAACAUAAUUAUUCUGGGAAAGCAGUGAUUGGUUCACUGAUAUGCAUUGAAAUAGUGCUGGAUCAUAUGCAUUCAGAAGUAACACUGCUGUUUUUCUGAUUGUAGUGCCAACCCAAGCCUGAAGGGCUGAUAUGAACAGAGAGGGGGAGACUACACUCUCCUGUUACCCAACAGAAUGAUCUGUCAAUGAGACCGGAGUCAGUCCCCUCCCCCACACUGAAAGAUGACCAAUCACAGUCAGUCCCAUCUCCCUGACUCACUGAAAGAUGACCAAUCACAGUCAGUCCCAUCUCCCUGAUUCACUGAAAGAUGACCAAUCACGAUCCGUCCCAUCCCCCUGAUUUACAGAUCAAAAAAAGUAUUUGUGAGCAUGUGUAAUUGUAAAGAUGUCUUAUUGGACGUAUAUUGUAAAAAGUGAAAAGUAUGUUUGUGCCACAUUAAACAUUAUACUGCUGGUUUCAAA